CCUGAGAAACCCAAAAGAUCGAAUGGGGAGAUUCAUCGUCAGCGAUUUUGGCACGUGCGAGGCUCGCGAUGCCGGAGACCUCGGUUUCCGGGCACGCGGUCGCGCAUGUUGAUCAUUGCCUUAAACGUCGGCGUGCACUUCUCCCCUAGUAGGACGUCGCGACCCGUUGGGUGUCGGUCUACGGCCCGGGUGGGAGCCUGUCUCGCGUUCGCUUCGCGGCGUUACGCUAUUCAGACCCCCGGUUGCCCGACCGGCUGCUCGGCGGUACGCGCACGGUAUCUGGCCGCAAAUAUUCGAACUGCGUCCGGCCCGUCGCAAGCGAGGCAAGUGUUUCCCGGCUGUACGGAUCUAACGCCGUCACCGGGCCUUGCCAGCUGUUGGUUGACGGUGUCCUAGGACAGGCCAAUGGCAAUUAUGAUACCGGUCGGCGACGCUACUGCUUUGGGUACUUUCAGGACCCGUCUUGAAACACGGACCAAGGAGUCUAACAUGUGCGCGAGUCAUUGGGUAUUAUUAAGCCUAAAGGCGCAAUGAAAGUGAAGGUCGGCCUUGCGCCGACCGAGGGAGGAUGGGCCGCGUCACGAUGCGGUCCCGCACUCCCGGGGCGUCUCGUUCUCAUUGCGAGAAGAGGCGCACCCAGAGCGUACACGUUGGGACCCGAAAG
rnacentral:rRNA from 1 species